UGAGAGCGCCAAGUAUCUGUAUCAAUAUCUAUAUAUAAGGUAGGCAGUAUCAAUAUCUAUAUAUCAUAUAGGAAUAUGACCCCUUCCUUCUAUGCUAGGGCUCACUAACUGAGACCUGAGGAAGUACACCUCGCUUCAGAAGGAAGAAGCACGCCAUCAUAAUCAAGCUCCACUGGGCGGGGAGAUCCACGAGACUGCAACGACGCUACAACACUCUUACGCAUCUACUUAAUUGGAUAGUUAAUAAGCGACUACUAAAAGCGAGUUUGCGAGUUAACGCCCACUUCUUCCUUCCAUCUAUGAUUACACAGCUUUGCCUACUUCUUCCAUCUAUGAAUUACACAGGUUUUCCUAUUCUAUUAAGAUAGGGGAGCUCACUUUCUACUUCACUUUACUUGCUCAUAACUAACUACUGGAUUCUUCACUGGAUUCUUCCACAAUAACUAUACUAUACAUUUGAAGAUCCGCUUACAGCAACAGAACUCGUAGACAACACUCACUGUAAAAUCCUCCCUCAAUGAAAGGUAUCUCGAAAACAGGACUUCCUCAUUAUUGUUAUUAAUGCCUGAAUUAGGACUUGCGGAGGACUGUGACUCAAGCUUUCUAGUAGUUCUUUCCUCUCUUUACCUUUGUAGCAGUUGCUUGUUCCCCGAUUUCUAGUUUAGGGCAAGGCAAUUCCAUGAAGUUUUUGUGUUAUUCCAUAUAGAAGAGAAACAGUUAUAAGAGAGUAGAAAUCAAGUCAGCUGCAGAAUGGACUGUGGAAUGCAGUGCAGGGUGAAUGAAAUCAUAUCUUACAUGCCCUACAACAUAAUGCGCGAGGUGUGAGCGAGUUUACCUUACAGCCAUGGAUUCCAUUGAUGGUUUUUUACUUGUCUGCCCUACAGCUAAAGAGGAGUGGCUUCUUAAAGGUGGAAGUUCCUUAAGAUCAAAGUAGUAAAGAGAUCCAAGUCGCUGUCCAAGGCAAGCUUAAGAAGGAUGAUUUCUCGGGGGGAAAAGAAAGGCUCAAGUCCUG
rnacentral:lncRNA from 1 species